AUGUUCAUAACCCUUUGUUGUCCGACUCUGUUGCCUCCGGGGCGACCCUGCCUUCGGGCGGGGGCUCCGGGUGGACACUUCAAACUCUUGCGUAACUUUGCAGUCUGAGUAAACUUAAUUAAUAAAUUAAAACUUUUAACAACGGAUCUCUUGGUUCUGGCAUCGAUGAAGAACGCAGCGAAAUGCGAUAAGUAAUGUGAAUUGCAGAAUUCAGUGAAUCAUCGAAUCUUUGAACGCACAUUGCGCCCCCUGGUAUUCCGGGGGGCAUGCCUGUUCGAGCGUCAUUUCACCACUCAAGCCUCGCUUGGUAUUGGGCAACGCGGUCCGCCGCGUGCCUCAAAUCGACCGGCUGGGUCUUCUGUCCCCUAAGCGUUGUGGAAACUAUUCGCUAAAGGGUGUUCGGGAGGCUACGCCGUAAAACAACCCCA
rnacentral:rRNA from 1 species